rnacentral:rRNA from 1 species
GACGAACGCUGGCGGCGUGCCUAAUACAUGCAAGUAGAACGCACAGUUUAUACCGUAGCUUGCUACACCAUAGACUGUGAGUUGCGAACGGGUGAGUAACGCGUAGGUAACCUGCCUGGUAGCGGGGGAUAACUAUUGGAAACGAUAGCUAAUACCGCAUAAUAUUGAUUAUUGCAUGAUAAUUAAUUGAAAGGUGCAAUUGCACCACUACCAGAUGGACCUGCGUUGUAUUAGCUAGUAGGUGAGGUAACGGCUCACCUAGGCGACGAUACAUAGCCGACCUGCGAGGGUGCUCGGCCACACUGGGACUGAGACACGGCCCAGACUCCUACGGGAGGCAGCAGUAGGGAAUCUUCGGCAAUGGACGAAAGUCUGACCGAGCAACGCCGCGUGAGUGAAGAAGGUUUUCGGAUCGUAAAGCUCUGUUGUAAGAGAAGAACGGGUGUGAGAGUGGAAAGUUCACACUGUGACGGUAUCUUACCAGAAAGGGACGGCUAACUACGUG